CCGGGUCCCUGCUUGACCUGAUUGUCUCCUCCUGCAGACCCUAAGGCCCCUGAUGUGUAUGACUUCUUCCUCCAGUGGAUUGGGAGAGGCCUGCUGGUUCUUGAGGGGCCCAAGUGGUUGCAGCACCGCAAGCUGCUCACACCUGGCUUUCAUUAUGAUGUGCUGAAGCCCUAUGUGGCCGUGUUCACUGAGUCUACACGUAUCAUGCUGGACAAGUGGGAAGAGAAAGCUCGGGAGGGUAAGUCCUUUGACAUCUUCUGCGAUGUGGGUCACAUGGCGCUGAACACACUCAUGAAGUGCACCUUUGGAAGAGGAGACACCGGCCUGGGCCACAGGGACAGCAGCUACUACCUUGCAGUCAGCGAUCUCACUCUGUUGAUGCAGCAGCGCCUUGUGUCCUUCCAGUACCAUAAUGACUUCAUCUACUGGCUCACCCCACAUGGCCGCCGCUUCCUGCGGGCCUGCCAGGUGGCCCAUGACCAUACAGACCAGGUCAUCAGGGAGCGGAAGGCAGCCCUGCAGGAUGAGAAGGUGCAGAAGAAGAUCCAGAACCGGAGGCACCUGGACUUCCUGGACAUUCUCCUGGGUGCCUGGGAUGAAGAUGACAUCAAACUGUCAGAUGCAGACCUCCGGGCUGAAGUGGACACAUUCAUGUUUGAAGGCCAUGACACCACCACCAGUGGUAUCUCCUGGUUUCUCUACUGCAUGGCCCUGUACCCUGAGCACCAGCAUCGUUGUAGAGAGGAGGUCCGUGAGAUCCUAGGGGACCAGGACUCCUUCCAGUGGGAUGAUCUGGGCAAGAUGACUUAUCUGACCAUGUGCAUCAAGGAGAGCUUCCGCCUCUACCCACCUGUGCCCCAGGUGUACCGCCAGCUCAGCAAGCCUGUCACCUUUGUGGAUGGCCGGUCUCUACCUGCAG
rnacentral:sRNA from 1 species